AGUACAGAGAGCCUAUGGGAGUAACCAUGUCAACUGAGGUCAACAUCACUGACCUCAGAACCUGACAUCACAGGCAACGAGAUGAAAGGAGAGAGAAAGGAGGAGCUGACUCCUGUUCUCUCCCCAAAGAGAUCAGUAUCUUGAGAAGAAGGAUGAGAAGAAGGAUGUAUAACACUAUCCUCCCUGAAUUUCCCUGGAGCACUACCCUGCUAUCCUGGGUUGCUGUCUUUCUCCUGGCAUCAAAACACAUGGAGGCUGCAGUCACCCAAAGCCCAAGAAACAAGGUGACAGUAACAGGAAAAACUGUGACAUUGAGCUGUCACCAGACUAAUAACCACAACAGCAUGUACUGGUAUCGGCAGGACAUGGGGCAUGGUCUGAGGCUUAUCUAUUACUCAUAUGGUGCUGGCAGCUUUGACAAAGGAGAUAUCCCUGAUGGGUACAAUGCCUCCAGAACAAGGCAAGAAGACUUCUCCCUCAUUCUGAAGCUGGCUUCUCCCUCUCAGACAUCUGUGUACUUCUGUGCCAGCAGUGAUGCUUGGCAAGAGACCCAGUACUUUGGGCCAGGCACUCGGCUCCUCGUGUUAGAGGACCUGACCAAGGUGACUCCACCCAAGGUCUCCUUGUUUGAUCCAUCAGAGGCAGAGAUCACAGACAAACAAAAGGCUACCCUCGUGUGCUUGGCCAGGGGCUUCUUCCCUGACCACGUGGAGCUGACCUGGUGGGUUAAUGGGAAGAAGAUCGACAGUGGGGUCAGCACAGACCCUGAAGCCUCCCAAGAGAGCAAUGGCAUCACCUAUUGCCUGAGCAGCCGCCUGAGGAUUUCUGCUAGCUUCUGGCACAAUCCUCGCAAUCACUUCCGCUGCCAGGUGCAGUUCUAUGGGCUUACAGAAGAGGACACCUGGACAGAGAGCUCACCCAAACCUGUCACACAGAACAUUAGUGCAGAGACCUGGGGCCGAGCAGGCUGUGGGAUCACUUCAGCAUCCUAUCAUCAGGGGGUUCUGUCUGCCACCAUCCUCUAUGAGAUCCUCCUGGGGAAGGCCACCCUGUAUGCUGUGCUGGUCAGUGCCCUGGUGCUGAUGGCCAUGGUCAAGAAAAAAAAUUCCUGAGACCAACGCUUACACAUCCUGAUCUGUUCUUUGCCCUGGCCGUAUAUUUUCCUGUACCUUCUCCAAUCCUUGUUCCUAAGGACUUGUCUCUUCUUCCUCCAUAGAAAUCCAUCCUUCCUCAUUGACCCUUUGACUCUGAAACAGACUAAAUCAUUAAAAAUUUUGAGUU